CCCCUCUCAGGAUUGCACCUGGAGAGUUUCCCGGUCUCUACCAGCCUCAGCAAUGGAAGGGAGAAUCAAGUAGAGGCAUACCUAUUCCAUUCCUAGCUUGGGCAGUGGCCAGUGAGUGGAAGGCCGUCUGUCACAAGU